GCACUGGACGGCAUAACAAAUUGCGUACUACUAGGAACAUUUGCUUGUUUAAAAGAAAGUAGCAACAAAAACUUUUAUCGUCUCAAUAGAAAUAACGUUUAAAAUCAUCUAUAAUAUUUUGUUACAAAUUUUUCGUAUCAAGUUUAACUCUUGAAAUACUUUGACUGAAAGCAAUGAGCUGUCCGCUAUCUUGGAAUAAUUUCUAACCUCAUUAACUAUCGUUUUG